UACGGAGGAUCCGAGCGUUAUCCGGAUUUAUUGGGUUUAAAGAGAGCGUAGGUGGAUUGUUAAGUCAGUUGUGAAAGUUUGCGGCUCAACCGUAAAAUUGCAGUUGAAACUGGCAGUCUUGAGUACAGUAGAGGUGGGCGGAAUUCGUGGUGUAGCGGUGAAAUGCUUAGAUAUCACGAAGAACUCCGAUUGCGAAGGCAGCUCACUGGACUGCAACUGACACUGAGGCUCGAAAGUGUGGGUAUCAAACAGG
rnacentral:rRNA from 1 species